ACGCGCGGCGCAACUGUUUGCCUCCCUCUCCGCCUCUCUGGUUCUUCUCUCCUAGACCUAGACGCCGCAGCCAUCGUCGAUCUCACCGGACGCCGUGUGGAUCUCGCCGGACGUUAGCAUCAGCCCUGCGUCAGGCGCCGCCGCCCGCCGGCCGCGCGCUCGCGCCGCGGGCGGCUGCACGCCCGCGCCGGUGGCGCGCCUGCGCCGGCUGCGCACACCAGUCUCCAGGCCAGCGCCCAGCGAGCCGUCGCCGAGGGCCCGAGGCGCCGACAAGUCCCGUGCCCACCAGGCCUGCAGUGCAGGCCACCACAGGUCCACAGUCCACAGAGCACAGGUACAGGCGUACAACACACACGCAGUGAUGCUCCUUCUCCCUCACAUCUUGAUUAGUUGAUUAUGCAAAUGAAUCAAUUUUUUAUUGUACAGUCAAGAACAUAUCUUAUGAUUUAUGAAAUGUGAUUCCAUUUUGAUUUUAUUAGGUAUGAGUUAGGUUAUAUAGCAGAACUCAAACCUAGGCACCUAGCGGUAUUGUGUAUCAGUGAAAUUAUGAGUUCCAUUUUGAUUAUGCAAAUGAAUAAAUUACAGGUAAUUAUGCAAAGAAGAAAUGAAAAAAAAGUUAGCAAUGAGUCUUUGGUUCGUCGUUUCCAUGCAAAGGGUGGAAAUAUACUCUCUAAGGCUCCGUUUGGAUGUUGAUAUUGGAGAGCUUGACAUUGUAUUGGUUUCAAUACCAAAUCAGGCUAGGUAUUGAAAUAGACUCAAUACCAAAGCUAUUGUUUGGAUGUAGAUAGAAUUUUCAGAUGGAAUUGAAUGAGUCAGCUAAUAUCAAUUCUCGUUUGGAUGUGCAUCUCCAGAAAUUGAAAUUGGCAUCCUCCUCCACCCCCAGCAUGGCCAUGGCCUCAGCAUCCUCCUCUGCGCAGCCCUCACCCAGUCAUCCUCCUCCUCUAGCAUGGCAAUGGCAGAUCUCAAGUGGCUGGGGCGGACCUUGUCAUCCUCCGUCGUGCGUCUGCGGCUCGCUGUCCCCCUCCGCACCUCGCUCGUCUUGCGGAGGUGGGCAUGGGAGGGGCGGAACAGCUCGCCGUGCGGAAAGGGCAGGGGAGAGGCGGCUUGGCUCGCUGGUCGGAGAGGAGGCACGGGUAGGGCGCGGCUGCUCACAGCGCAGAUAGGGCAGGGGAAGGGCGGCAGCCCACUAGCCGGAGAAGAGGCAAGGAAGGGGUGGCGCAGCUUGCUGUGUCGAAGAGGGAAGGGGAAGAGGCGGGACGGCCCGCUGGUCGGAGAGGCAGACAGGGAAAGGUGAGCACGACUCGCCGGAGAGGAGGCAGGGGAGUGGUCAGGGGCGGAGUUCCGGUGGCGGUGGUCGGGGCGGAGUUCUGCGAUGGAAGAAGAGAAGCGACGAUCCAAUUCAUCCCAAUACGGAGGGGUGAGGCUCCGCAUUCACGAAGGGCUAUUUUAGUUCAGGUUCAAUUCUUCGGUAUUGGUCCCCAAUACCAAUUCCAAAUUUUGUAGACAUCCAAACAACUUGUAUUCACUAGAUCAAAUUCCAAUUCCCAAUACCGAGCUCCAAUACUGACAUCCAAACGGACCCUAAGAGGUUGGAUGUAUAUUUAUAUGGAACAUCUUUUGUCAACAUUUUGGGCUUUUGGUUAAAGUGAUCAAUGCCACGUUUAUUUAAUUAUUUUGCUAUAGAUGGUGACCGGUGAGUGUUGUUGCCCUAUCCUCUACCUGUUUACAUAUGUAUUCAGUAGACUAAAAUGACAUUGACAUUAUUGGAAGUUGAAUUUGAUGUUAAAAAUUAUGGAUUAGUUAUACUAUUUAUUUGUAUAUCAUAUGAGGCACUGUAUUUUUUAUGAAGCUGUGCACGGCACCCCCUAUCUAUUAGCUCUAGCUUCGCCCAUGGACCUGCCGCUACGUGGCGGUGGCAUCACCCCGCAAGGAAACCGCUGGCGAGUGGCGAGUGCCCGCCCACUCUUCAUUGUCUAUAUCCAUCAUCUAAAACAAAUAUUCUGUCAUUUUCAUCAAAAUUUUCUUCUCUAUUCCCAAUUUUGCUGCACUCAUUCAUCUGUAACUCCGUCUGUACCGACUAACAACAGCAGACCCCACAUAUCAGAUUUUUUUAAUCUCUUUUACCCCUCUCUCCCUUCCUCUCUCCGACAUCGAGCAAGCCGGCCUCCCUACCAGGCGCCUCCCUCCAUCGACGGCACCCUCUGCUCCUCCUCCCCGGCCGCCCUCUGCUCGCGCGUUCCAGUCCACCUCCCGUGUCCUGCAGGGCGCCCCAUGAGCUGAGGCCGCCGCCGAUGGGCCCGCUCCCCGGCGCGCAGGACCCCGCGCCAUCGCCGUCGAGCGGCCGCGGCUCCUCCAGGCGCCGCCUCUGCCGCGACCGCCGCAGCGCCGUACCCGCAGCCGGCCUCCGCGCCGGCGUCGGGGCCGGCCUCGCUCGCUCGACCUCGUCAACAGCUUCCGCAUCGGCGGUAGCGGCGCGAGCUCGCGCAGGACGACGGCGGCGGCGGCGCGCGCGGGACGGCGGCGGCGGUGCUCGCGAGACGACGGCAGCGCGCGCUCGAGGGACGACGGCCUCGGAGCUCACCGACCGCGAGCUCGGCGGCCUCGGCUCGCUAGCCUCGGAGCUCGCCGGCCUCAGAUCUGCGGCGGCACGGCGGCGGGCCGGCGGGCCUGCGGGACGGCGGUGGCGGGGCCACGGGACGGCGGCUGGGCUCACCGGCACGGCGGCUGCGGCAGCAGGCUCCCUCCCCGCCUCAGGCUCCCUCCCUCCCUCCGGCAAGCUCAACGUCGGCCCUGCGCGGGGCGGUCCUACGCGCGGCGGCGCGGGGUGGUCCUGCACGCAGCGGCCUGCGCGGUGGCGCGGACGGCCGCGCCGGCCCGCGCGGCCGGAGUAGGGUGGCUGGGACGGCCGAAGAGGGGUGGCCGGGGCGCGCGCGCGAGCGGCCGGAGCCGCCCAGCUCCCUCCCGCGCCGCCCACCCAGGCGGCCCUCCGUGCGCAGGCCUCCCUCCCGGCUGCCAUGGCGGGCGAGACGUCCUCUCCGACGCGGCCUGCGCGGCAGGGCGGAGGUGGCCAGCCGGAGCGCGGCGGGGCGGAGGUGACCGGCUGGCACGCGGAGGGAAGCCGUCGGGCAUGCGCAGAAGCAACGGCGAGGUGGGCCAACAUGCUAUGUUGCCCGGAUACGCGGAUACGGAUACCGUUGGAAGCUUGCAUGCAUCCUUUCUUUGAUGAGCUGAGAGAUCCUAACACUCGUCUACCUAAUUGGCGACCUUUGCCUCCUCUAUUCAACUUCAGAUCUCAAGAGCUGAAAGGUUUUCCUCCAUAAGUCGUCGAGCGGCUUGUCCCGGAGCACGCGAGGAGGCAGAGUUUGUUCAUGGCUUCGCGGACCUAGUUUCCGCUGGUCUUUUUGCUCUUUUUUUCACUGCUUGUUCCCUGAGGGAAGCUUGUAAAGCUCUAGCUUCUCCUUUUGCUUCCGUCCUUCCCUGCUUUCCCGUUCUUUCUUUGGAGCUUUGUGUGGACGAGAUCCUUGAGAUACACUAUAGUUGUUCCAGGAUGUGAGGUUGAAGUGUGUGUGGUGUGCAGUUGGCUUGGAGAUUUCGGUCGCAGUGUUGUGGGAGCCUUGUGAAGUUUUUUUUUUGUCUAGUUUUCAUGCUUCCCUGGUUUGAAAUUUUCUUAAAUUCAUUUGAACUUUCUUCAAGACUUGGUUAUGUGAAGCAUUGUGUGCGGUAAAAGGGGUAGUAAUUGGAUCGUGAGGGAGACAUUGGUCGAUGAGAGAUUGGAUGAUGCAACCAUUCAGGAAAGAGGCUGUCAACUACUGCCUACUGGUGUUCUGCUUUACUUAAAUUACAUCUGAAUGCAGAGUUUCCUGUUA